AGCAGCCGCGGUAAUUCCAGCUCCAAUAGCGUAUAUUAAAGUUGUUGCAGUUAAAAAGCUCGUAGUUGAAUUUCGGGGUUAGUAGGUUGGUCAUGCCUCUGGUAUGUACUGGUCUCACUGAUUCCUCCUUCCUGAUGAACCUUAAUGCCAUUAAUUUGGUGUUUUGGGGAAUUUGGACUGUUACUUUGAAAAAAUUAGAGUGUUUAAAGCAAGCUAACGCUUGAAUACAUUAGCAUGGAAUAAUGAAAUAGGACGUUCGAUCCUAUUUUGUUGGUUUCUAGGAUUGACGUAAUGAUUAAUAGGGAUAGUUGGGGGCAUUAGUAUUCAAUUGUCAGAGGUGAAAUUCUUGGAUUUAUUGAAGACUAACUACUGCGAAAGCAUUUGCCAAGGAUGUUUUCAUUAAUCAAGAACGAAAGUUAGGGGAUCGAAGACGAUCAGAUACCGUCGUAGUCUUAACCGUAAACUAUGCCGACCAGGGAUCGGAUGAUGUUAAUUUUUUAAUGACUCAUUCGGCGCCUUA
rnacentral:misc_RNA from 1 species